rnacentral:tRNA from 1 species
GAGGGUAUAGCUCAGUGGUGGAGUGUGUGCUUUGCAUGCACAAGGUCCUGGGUUCAAUCCCCAGUGCUUCCA